rnacentral:rRNA from 1 species
GUGGGGAAUAUUGGACAAUGGGCGAAAGCCUGAUCCAGCCAUGCCGCGUGUGUGAAGAAGGUCUUCGGAUUGUAAAGCACUUUAAGUUGGGAGGAAGGGCAGUAAGUUAAUACCUUGCUGUUUUGACGUUACCGACAGAAUAAGCACCGGCUAACUUCGUGCCAGCAGCCGCGGUAAUACGAAGGGUGCAAGCGUUAAUCGGAAUUACUGGGCGUAAAGCGCGCGUAGGUGGUUUUGUAAGUUGGAGGUGAAAUCCCCGGGCUCAACCUGGGAACUGCAUCCAAAACUGCAUGACUAGAGUACGGUAGAGGGUAGUGGAAUUUCCUGUGUAGCGGUGAAAUGCGUAGAUAUAGGAAGGAACACCAGUGGCGAAGGCGACUACCUGGACUGAUACUGACACUGAGGUGCGAAAGCGUGGGGAGCAAACAGGAUUAGAUACCCCGGUAGUCC